rfam:Triticum aestivum genome assembly, contig: Triticum_aestivum_CS42_TGACv1_scaffold_513787_6BS
AUACCUUUCUCGGCCUUUUGGCUAAGAUCAAGUGUAGUAUCUGUUCUUAUUAGUUUAAUAUUUGAUAUGUGGUCCAUGUGCCCAUAAUGAUAUUAAAUUUAUUUUUUAUGGGGGAGGGUCCACCACACUAGCUUGCUAGUGGGGCACUCGUGUGUUGCCUGGGCGUGGCACUACUGCCCAGGCCAGGCGCACCCCAA